ACUCCACGGCCAUGGAGUCCAUCCAGGGAGAGGCUCCCCGGGGAGGAACCUUCGACACCGACGACCAGAUGGGCGGAAUUCCCGCCCGGAAUUCCCGGGGCGAGCGGCUGCUGCUCUACAUCGGCAUCAUCGACAUCCUGCAGUCCUACAGGUUGGUGAAGAAGCUCGAGCACUCCUGGAAGGCGCUGGUGCACGACGGGG